rnacentral:lncRNA from 1 species
AAAGGAGUCCAAUUUCGGCUGAUCUGGGGUUGAACUACAAGUGGUGGUAUUCCAUGUGUUUUAAUAAUAAAUAAAUAAAACCAAGUGUUUUGUUUUUGUAAGUUUAUUAAUCUCAAGAGACUUUCUUGCAGAGUGUGAUACUUCUUGUCAUAUAUAAUGACUAGCUCAAGGACUUCUUGGAAGGCCAAAGCUGUUACAUUCAAC